rnacentral:rRNA from 1 species
AUUGAACGCUGGCGGCAUGCCUUACACAUGCAAGUCGAACGGCAGCGGACCUUCGGGUGCCGGCGAGUGGCGAACGGGUGAGUAAUAUAUCGGAACGUACCUUUCAGUGGGGGAUAACGUAGCGAAAGUUACGCUAAUACCGCAUAUUCUGUGAGCAGGAAAGCAGGGGAUCGCAAGACCUUGCGCUGAUUGAGCGGCCGAUAUCAGAUUAGCUAGUUGGUGAGGUAAAGGCUCACCAAGGCGACGAUCUGUAGCGGGUCUGAGAGGAUGAUCCGCCACACUGGAACUGAGACACGGUCCAGACUCCUACGGGAGGCAGCAGUGGGGAAUUUUGGACAAUGGGCGCAAGCCUGAUCCAGCCAUGCCGCGUGAGUGAAGAAGGCCUGCGGGUUGUAAAGCACUUUCAGUGGGGAAGAACAGGUUCGGGUCAAUACCCCGGAGCCCUGACGUUACCCACAGAAGAAGCACCGGCUAACUCCGUGCCAG